rnacentral:rRNA from 1 species
GUGGGGAAUAUUCCGCAAUGGACGAAAGUCUGACGGAGCAACGCCGCGUGAGUGAUGAAGGUUUUCGGACUGUAAAGCUCUGUUGUUUAGGACGAAAGUGCCUGUUGCAAAUAGUUACAGGUAUUGACGGUACUGAACGAGGAAGCCACGGCUAACUACGUGCCAGCAGCCGCGGUAAUACGUAGGUGGCAAGCGUUGUCCGGAAUUAUUGGGCGUAAAGAGCAUGUAGGCGGGAAUCUAAGUCUGUUGUGAAAAUGCGGGGCUCAACCCCGUAUUGCGAUGGAAACUGGGUUUCUUGAGUGCAGGAGAGGAAAGGGGAAUUCCCAGUGUAGCGGUGAAAUGCGUAGAUAUUGGGAGGAACACCAGUAGCGAAGGCGCCUUUCUGGACUGUGUCUGACGCUGAGAUGCGAAAGCCAGGGUAGCGAACGGGAUUAGAUACCUUGGUAGUCC